rnacentral:lncRNA from 1 species
CUACCUCACCAACUAACACAGUUUUUUCAUAAAAAUUAAAAUUUAAAAACUUUUAAAAGAACAAAUAAUCGAAUAGAUUCCAUAUUCGGGAUUAAUCAAAUAGGGAAAAAAAUAGAUCAGUGCAAUGUUGUUAGAAUCUAGAUGCGUGAAAAUAGCAGAAUAUAUCGUCAGUCCAACCUCCAAGUAUUAUGUCUCGACUUAUCACAUAUAUCAGUAUGUGUGAUUGAGUGGGUAGAGAUGCAUGUGAAAGUAGGGAGCUGAAUGUGUCACUAUAAAUAUAGAGAAUGAGCAUUUCUCGAUUACAAUUGGUCCCGGGUUUGCCAAGAGAAGCUGUCAAAACGUCACAAACAUGAAUAAUAUUUUAGUACAAGUUGAAGCAGUGUUAUAAAUUAUAAUAAUAUCAUCAUAGAUGGAUUUCUUGGCACACAAGAAAUUAUUUCACUGCUUGAUUGAAUUAAGCUAUGCCAUUACAAGCAUGUGGUUGUACAUUUAAUUGAAUGGAUAACUUCAAAAUCAUUUUGAAUUUUGUUAAUUUCAGAGAUCAAACAUUGGAACUGUUUACCAUUUGUUUCCAAUUUUAAGAAGAGUUCUUAUAGUAAUGACUAAUGAUGUAGAAAAAUAAAAAUAAAUGUUAGAAUUUUGUAAAUGUUAACUACCUGGAUAUCUCUUUUCUUGAGGCUCUUAAGUAAAUCUUCAAAGGAAUGGAU